GACGAACGCUGGCGGCGUGCCUAAUACAUGCAAGUCGAGCGGAACUGGGGGAGCUUGCUCCUUCCAGUUUAGCGGCGGACGGGUGAGUAACACGUGGGCAACCUGCCCUGCAGAUCGGGAUAACUCCGGGAAACCGGUGCUAAUACCGAAUAGUUUGGCGCCUCUCCUGAGGCGCUACGGAAAGACGGUUUCGGCUGUCACUGCAGGAUGGGCCCGCGGCGCAGUAGCUAGUUGGUGGGGUAACGGCCCACCAAGGCGACGAUGCGUAGCCGACCUGAGAGGGUGACCGGCCUCACUGGGACUGAGACACGGCCCAGACUCCUACGGGAGGCAGCAGUAGGAAAUCUUCCGCAAUGGACGCAAGUCUGACGGAGCAACGCCGCGUGAGUAACGAAGGUUUUCGGAUCGUAAAACUCUGUUGUGAGGGAAGAACACGUACCAACUAACUAUUGGUACCUUGACGGUACCUCACCAGAAAGCCACGGCUAACUACGUGCCAGCCGCCGCCGUAA
rnacentral:rRNA from 1 species